rnacentral:rRNA from 1 species
UACGUAGGGUCCGAGCGUUGUCCGGAAUUAUUGGGCGUAAAGGGCUCGUAGGCGGUCGUGACAAGUCACUUGUGAAAUCUCCGGGCUUAACUCGGAAACGGUCAAGUGAUACUGUCGGACUAGAGUACAGAAGGGGGCAACUGGAAUUCUCGGGUGUAGCGGUGAAAUGCGUAGAUAUCGAGAGGAACACCUGCGGCGAAGCGGGUUGCUGGGCUGAUACUGACGGUGGAGGCGCGGAAAGCCCAGGGGAGCGAACGGG